GUGGGUGCGGGAAAGAAAUGUCACUCCUUUCAGCUUAAUAGCAACAACAACAACAAUGCAGCCAAAAGCCUGAAGCGUGGAGUAAUAGAACUGGGAGACAGCCGGCGAACAGGCAGGCUGUGGCCUCUCUCCAAACAGCAGCUGGCAACCUGGCAUGGCACACACCCUGGGGAAGCACUCACCAAAAGGCAGGAGGAAGCCCUGUGUGGUGGAGAGGCUGGGGCAGGAGGAGCUCAUCAGCUGCUCCACAGCCCUGGCGUGGCCUCUGGCCUGCUGGGGAGGCUGCAGGGCUUGGUUUCUGUGUGAGCUGGUUGCUCUGGGGUUCUUCUCUUUCCCAUUUCUCUCCUCCUUUUCUUUUCCUCUUCCUUGUCCUCGUUCCCUUCCCUGCUACCAACUGGACUCAUUCUUAAAGCAAGGGGACCCUCCAUCCAUGAUUCAUAGUAUCAUAGAAUAUCUUGAGUUGGAAGGUACCCUUAAGGAUCGUUGAGUCCCUGGAGGAGGGAUAACCCAUUUCUUGCAUGCCUCAUGGGCUCGUGCCCUGAAGUCAGAGGAUCCUCUCGUAAUUGCUUGGAGUGAAUAAGUGGGUGGGCAGGUUGCAGGCAGUGAGAUGAAAUAGGCAGGAGGGCACCGUGGGUUCUGGCACCUUCCUGGGAGGAUGGAGAUAAGAGGUCCUGUCCAUUCUCUGCCUUUGCUGAACACUCUUGAGCAUCACCGAGCUGUUCCAUUUCCCUUCCUGGCUGCUGGAGGGAGAAGUACCUGCAAGGGACAAGGAUGCCACCAAUGCUGUGUUCCACUGCAGGUCCUCACCCACGGAGCUCAGCAGGGAGGGAUGAUUUGCAAAAGGCUCUUUGCAUCCCCUAGCAUGCAGCUCAGCUACCCGGGGCUGAUUUGGAAGAGCAGCCCCAAAUCUCCAGGCUCACCCAUGGAUUGGGGUGGGCUUUAAGGCAGCACCAGUACAAGCUGCCAGGCCAAGCAGAGGUGGAACAGUGGCGGGCAAUCAAACAACUUGCAAGAUAAGCAAAUAAAAUCAAUUUUACAUCAGUGGAAGGAACCGACAUUGAGGACAGGGGGUUCUGGCAGCCCACGGCCCAGGGGGAGAGGGUCCUACUCCAGUGAUGCUCAUUGCCGUUGCCCUGCCCUGCCUGCAUCCCCACAGCUCAUGAUGGAUUCCACGCCUGUGGCUCUGCAUUCAGGGCAGCACAGGCUGGGUGUCCUCCCAGGGGAUGCAUCCCACCGGUGCUGAACUCUGUGAUGGUUUCUUUUGGGCUCUCUGGAUACCCUGGCAUGUGAUGUAGUGCUGAUUAUAUAGCACCUUACACCUGAAGACCUCCAGGCAAGUAAACAGAGGGAAUUAUUCACAAGGAAUAACUUAUUUAAGGCGUUGGCUUUUUUUCUUUUUCCUCCCUCUCAUACAUGCAUUGUCCAUGAAAAGACCGAGAAAUUCUCCAAUGUGUGUUUGGUGUUACUCCCAAAUCUCCUAGGUGAACAACUCUUGGCUUGUAGACACCACUGAUGCAGAGAAAAAAAAUCUCUCUGCCCCUUUGGUUUAUGCAGAGACCCCAG
ensembl:lncRNA